rnacentral:rRNA from 1 species
GUUACUGCUAUCGGGGUUCGACUAAGCCAUGCAAGUUAAAUGUUUUUCGUAAACAUAGCGAACUGCUCAGUAACACGUGGAUAACUUAACCUUAGGUCCGGCAUAACCCCGGGAAACUGGGGAUAAUUCCGGAUGUACCAAGGAUGCUGGAAUGCCCUUUGGUUCAAAGCUUUUGUGCCUAAGGAUAGGUCUGCGGUCUAUCAGGUAGUAGUGGGUGUAACGUACCUACUAGCCGACGACGGAUACGGGUUGUGAGAGCAAGAGCCCGGAGAUGGAUUCUGAGACACGAAUCCAGGCCCUACGGGGUGCAGCAGGCGCGAACACUUUACAAUGCGGGAAACCGCGAUAAGGGAACCCCGAGUGCCAGUACUAAGUGCUGGCUGUCUAGAUGAAUAGAUAUCAUUUAAUAGCAAGGGCCGGGCAAGACCGGUGCCAGCCGCCGCGGUAACACCGGCGGCCCGAGUGGUAACCGAUAUUAUUGGGUCUAAAGGGUCCGUAGCCUGUUUAAUAAGUCCUUUGGGAAAUCUGGCAGCUUAACUGUCAGGCUGCUAAAGGAUACUGUUAAACUUGGGACCGGUAGACGUAGGGGGUACUCCAGGGGUAGGAGUGAAAUCUUGUAAUCCCUGGGGGACCAUCUGUGGCGAAGGCGCCCUACGAGAACGGGUCCGACGGUGAGGGACGAAAGCUAGGGGAGCAAACCGGAUUAGAUACCCGGGUAGUCCUAGCUGUAAACGAUGCUCGCUAGGUGUCAGGCACGGUGCGUCCGUGUCUGGUGCCGCAGGGAAGCCGUUAAGCGAGCCACCUGGGGAGUACGGUCGCAAGGCUGAAACUUAAAGGAAUUGGCGGGGGAGCACUACAACGGGUGGAGCCUGCGGUUUAAUUGGAUUCAACGCCGGA